rnacentral:rRNA from 1 species
GACGAAGGAUCCAAGCGUUAUCCGGAAUCAUUGGGUUUAAAGGGUCCGUAGGCGGUUUUGUAAGUCAGUGGUGAAAGCCCAUCGCUCAACGGUGGAACGGCCAUUGAUACUGCAAAACUUGAAUUAUUGGGAAGUAACUAGAAUAUGUAGUGUAGCGGUGAAAUGCUUAGAUAUUACAUGGAAUACCAAUUGCGAAGGCAGGUUACUAUCAAUAUAUUGACGCUGAUGGACGAAAGCGUGGGGAGCGAACAGG